GAAAUGCGAUAAGUAAUGUGAAUUGCAGAAUUCAGUGAAUCAUCGAGUCUUUGAACGCACAUUGCGCCCCCUGGUAUUCCGGGGGGGCAUGCCUGUCCGAGCGUCAUUUCUGCCCUCAAGCACGGCUUGUGUGUUGGGCCCCGUCCUCCGAUCCCGGGGGACGGGCCCGAAAGGCAGCGGCGGCACCGCGUCCGGUCCUCGAGCGUAUGGGGCUUUGUCACCCGCUCUGUAGGCCCGGCCGGCGCUUGCCGAUCAACCCAAAUUUUUAUCCAGGUUGACCUCGGAUCAGGUAGGGAUACCCGCUGAACUUAAGC
rnacentral:misc_RNA from 1 species